rnacentral:tRNA from 1 species
AGGGCUGUAGCUCAGCGGUAGAGCGCCCGACUGUUAAUCGGACGGUCGCAGGUUCGAGCCCUGCCAACCCUG